AAAACUGUAAUAUGCUGGAUUUUAAACUGAAUAUUAGGCGUGCAUACAAAUUUGGUUUGAAAAGUAGCUCCAUAACUCAAUAAUCAGCUCUUUGGUUUCAAAUAUAGUUAGGACAUUCCCUGAUUAGACUCAGGACUUCAGUCCAAUUAUUUUGGAAUUCAAAUCCCUGUAUCACUGGAUAUCAAUAAACUACUCUAUUUUUUCCCAACAAAAUUAAAGUGGCAGAAAGUAAAAUUCUUUAAAAAGGGAUUAAGUAUACAAAAUGUCAGACAAAUAAUAGCAGGGAGUAUGAAGGAGCUUUAAGUUUUAUUCAUUAAUUAAGAAGACUGUUAAAUUUGCAGGCAAUGUUUCUUGUUUUAAAUUGAUUAAGUACCCUGUAUUUUAUAUCAAUAGCUCACAACUUUUUUGUGCAAGAGAAGUUUUUCCAGCUUGGACAUUUUCAUAACUACAUACAGCACAGAGAGCUACAGAGACCACAGCUACAAAAAAUAUAAACAAGAAAAUGGGAACAGAGGUACAGCAUAAAAUAGGACAGAGAGAAACUUGGGCAACUUACAAGAUUCCGUUAUUCUAUCUUACUACAAGAAAAUGCAUUCUUGGAAUCCUUGCCAUGCCCAUUUCUUGAUCUGCCCUACCUUGAAGGAUUUGCCUGCCUACAUUUAUGCAGCUUUAGUCACAGAUCACCCAAAUUUGGAAUCAGGUUGAUACCUUCCUCACCCUUUGUAUGAAUAAGUUUCCCAGUGCAUAAAUUCUAAUAGAUGGGGAUUUCAACGAAAGGGUUGGUUGUAAUGAUGAAGCUCUCUAUGAACAUUCAAGGCCUGUCCCCCUGAAGAAGUAAUUGAACCAUCAUUUCUGUCCAGAUCCUUCAAAGACACAAAAUACAACCUAGCUGGCUUUAGGUUGCUGCAUCUUGUAAAUAAGCUUAACCUUCAAGUGUUAAAUGGUUCUGUCCAAAAUGAUUUCCCUGGGCAAUAUACAUUUUGGUCAGCUCACAAGUUAUCCACUAUAGAUUAUUUAAUAAUCUCUAGAGACCUGGCCCCUCACCUUAAGCACUUUGGCAUAGUCCCUAGGUUGAAAGUGACCACCUUCC